CCUGAAUAUGAGGACGCUGCUAACGUGAUGACCGUAGUUGAAUCAAGCCACUCAGCUUCAGGUCCUGUGACCAAUGCUCGAACUUCCUUAAAGAUACAAGAGAAGACUUCUGAUUAUUCAGAUGACCUUUUUGACUCCACUGAUGAUAAUUACAACUCCAGUAAAAGCAGUAUGGACAAUAGUCAUGCAGGUGCUGACAAGGUCAGAAAAUUGGAACACACAUGGGCUGGGAACACACUAAGAAAACGACAAAGCAGUCAAGUAAGUCUUAAAUUUCUCAUUUCAUAUUUUACAUUUCAUCAGACAGGAUUAUAUAUGGUUCAGGAUUUCAUUAGUUAAAUUGUCACUGUUUUUUAAGUUCAGAGGGAAGAGUCCUGAUAACUUGGAUGAGUGUAUUGACACCAAUGAGGAGCUGUCUGAUCACAGUGAAGGGAGUGAGGAAGAAUAUAUUCCAGAUACCUCAGAAGAUAGUUCAGACAGUAGCACAAUUUUUCCAUCGUCAAAGUGCAAAAGAAGGCCCCUUGCUUGUCCACUUCAGAGCACUAGUACAAGCCCAAACCCACUUUGUCAGAACAUUAUCAGCAGCUCUACCUCUCAGAUUCAGAGCAGCAGCGGAAACGGUGAACUUCAUAGCAGUAGUGACACUCAGAACUCUCGCAGCUGUGAUAAAACACUUACUCCAGACAGCACAUCAUUUGUUGACCAAGAAAGCACAAGUCACUCAGUGAUUAUUCCUGCUGUAAGCAAAAAGAAUGAUGGUGGGAGAGUGUAUGACAAAAAACAGCACUGCUUGUUCUGUGGCUUAGCUUUUUCCAAACUUGCAAGACACCUGGAGCGUAAACAUUCCAAAGAGGUGGAGGUAGCGAAGGCACUAAGUCAUCCAAAGGGAUCCAAAAAAAGGAGAAUGCAGUUAGAGUAUCUGCGUAACAAAGGUAAUUUUGAGCACAAUUCUGUUGUAUUGAAAACAGGCAAAGGAAAACUAGUUCCUCGCAAGUUACC